rnacentral:lncRNA from 1 species
GUGACGUCGUGGACCACAGCGGUGGAUUUGGCGCCAUCGAUUGCGUCGAAAUCACGAUCGUUUUUUCUACACAUCGAACAAUUAUCAAUCUCGGAUUUCUACUCGCGACUUUGUUCCCCGCGACAUUCGCGAAUCGUCGGUAUACAACGUGGGUGAUGCCGCACCGAUACACAUGCGUCCGACACAUCGCGUUCCACGGCCAAGUCGCUACGCGAACGAGCGGUGAGCGGUAAGCGGUAAUGGCGAGUAGUAGCGCGGUGUAAGUGGAGGAAGGGGGUAGUCACCGGCACUCGCUGCUUGCUUUUUGGCCGGGCUCAGCCGCCGCUCGCCGAGUUCAGCCGAGCAGCGAGUGCUCACAGUGCUGUUCGCUACCCCCACCACUUACACCGCCGCUAGUCGCCACUACGCAUUACUGUCCGCCGCUCAUUUGCGUAGUAACCUUGCCGUGGAACGCGACGUGCCGGACGCAUGUGUAUCGGUGCGGCAUCACCCCCGUUGUAUACCGACAAAUCGCGAAUGUCGCGGGGAUUAAAAUCGCGAGUAGAGAUCCGGGAUUGAUAAUUGCUCGAUGUGUAAAGAAAACGAUCGUAAUUUCGACGCAUUCGAUGGCGCCAAGCCCACCGCUGUGGUCUACGAUGUCACAGUACGUUACAUUUGCUCGACCAAUAGGAACAAAGAAUUUUCAAAUAGAAAAGUGGCAUCCAAUCACAGGAUGUUUCAGUGCAUCUGUAGUGUAACUUUCGCGGGUCGCGGCAUCACGACUCUCCCGUCUCUCUCGUGAAGAUCGAGUAAAGGUAAUGAUAAUUGCCACGAAUUGCCCGAUAUAGAGAAUGUGUGAUUGCGUUUCGAUGAGUAACGUUACAGCGAUACGCUUGGAUCGCUCGCCCGAGUCUCAUCCUCCAAUCACAGAAUGUUUCAAUGUAUUUAUAGUGUAACCAUCACUGCAUAUCGGCAUCACCCCGUCAUUUCAUAUACCGAUGAAUCGUGAAUGUCGCGAGUAAAGAUACGGGAUUGAUAAUUGCUCGGUGUGUAGAGAAACGAUCGUGAUUUCGUAAUCGCUGGCGCCAACCGAGUCCGCGGCUGUAAAAUUCGAGAUUGAUGGCAUUAAUGAGAAAGCGGUGUGGAUGAGCGAUUAGAUUCGAGCCGGUGAAUUGAGCGACAUGUCGUUAAUUGGCAUAAAUGUAAUCGUGUAAUCAAUCUCGAUUUUAAUAUGGGAUAAAAAAUUUUAUCCGAGUUCGACGUGCGUGGAUCGUGUACAUCGGUAACCUGUUACCGUCGCGAGUGAAUUUUGUGCGAGUGCGGAAUUCUAACCUGAGAGAGGGAGGCCGGCUGAUAAUCACUGGGCAACGGUGGAGCAACUUUGAGUUCGUGAUACACGCAACUCCACUGCAAGGCAUCGGUGUUGGUAAGUCAUUAUCUUUUUUUUGUAAUCAUUUCCGGUAAUAAAUCAGUGAAAAUUGGAUAUUAGAUAUUAGAGAUGUAAAUAAAUAAAUAAUUAAAUUUAUGUGUUUGUGUGUAUCAGAUUAAAAACACAAAACAAUAAUAAAUUAAAUAAAUAAACUGAAUAAAUAAAAUAAUUUCAUAGACCUAUUAUCUUAAGAAAUUGGAUUGGAAUAAAUAUUGAUAUUGAAUCCAAAAUCACUACAAACAACGAUUCUGAAUCGAGUCCCGCAAGUGGAUUUGAGCUAUCUUUAAAAUUAAAAAAUUUGCUAUCUAUAAAUUGUUUAAAUAAUUGUACCGCGCGAAUGGUUCAACUACAAACGGAAAUAAUUGUACUACAAUCCACUACAAACGAUUUUUUAUAAGAAACAGUCGUUAAAAUUGAUUUAUUUCAAAGUCAGGGAUGACAUUUUUUAAAUUCCGAUAUUUUUUUUUCUAUGCUACUACAAACAAAAUAAAUGUUACUACAUUCAACUACAUACGAAAAUCUUUCGAAAAAAAAUUAAGAAAAAAAAUCGCUUCAAGCCGAGUUUACAAAGCCAGUGGUGUUGAUGAGAUAAAUGUUAUACUUCACAGAGUAGUAAUUAUAACAUAUAUUAAGAAAAACUUUAAUCUUUUAAAUAUGAGAAUUAAACAUUAGUUAGAAUAAAUCUAAAAAUCAAACAUCAUAUUUGAGAUAAAAUUUUAUCUCAGAUAAAAUUAAUAUAACUUUUUAUCAUCUUGGGGAUAUUUCAGAAACAUUGAACUUAAAAUAUCUUGAUAGUGACUAUUGCUACGCAACAGAUAUUCUGAUAUAUAGAUAUCUUUAAGAUAUUUCUGUGAUAUAUUUUGCUGCAUUGAAAUGUUUUCUUUGUCUGUUGUAAAAGUUUGUAAAUAUUGUCCAUACAGUAAAAUACAUUUGAGAUAUAAUAAUCAGAUAUUUUUGUAUUUCCAGUUUUAAAUCAAUUUUAAAGUAUCUUAUUAUCAAGUACUCAUAAUAUUUUGCAGAACAUUAUUUGAUACAACGUAUUGUUUAUCCUUCUAUUCGUCCUGAAUAAUAAAAAAAUAUUUGAUAUCACGUAUUGUCUACAAAAGGAUAUUUCUGGAACAUUCGUUUUAAGUUUAUUUUGAGAUAUUUUGUAACCAAUAAGACACAACAUAGUUUAAAAUAAACUUUUGCCUAUUUUAAAUAUGAGAAUUUAAGAUUAGAAUAAAUAUAAAAGCCAAAUUUAAGAUAAAAUUAAUAUGACUGAUAUUAUCUUUUUGAAGAUAUUUCAUACAACAGAUAUUUUGACAUAUAAAUAUCUUCAAUAUAUUCUUAAAAUAUUUGGGUACUGACUGUUGCCAUGCAACAGCAAUUCUGAUAUAUAGAUAUCUUCAAGAUAUUUCUGAUACAUUUUGCUGUAUAGAAUAUUUUUAAGACAUUUCUGUGAUAUAUUUUGCCAUGCGGAAACGUUCUCUUCUACUUUCUUGUAAUUUUGUAUGUACAUUUGUGUAUCUUUAUGCAAAGAAUAUAUUUUGAGAAUAAAAAUUGUUACUAAGUUUUAUCUUGGUAUUAGGAAAAAUGAUAAUAAUUUAUAACUGUAUGACCUAGUACAUGUUCAUUAAUGUUAUUAUAAAAAAUAAUUCAG